rnacentral:lncRNA from 1 species
GGCAAGCAGAGCCGGCUGCCAUGGCGCUGUUGGGGCCUGUGAUCUGGGGCUUUAGACGAGAUGUCUACCUCCUGUUGCUGCUACUGCUGCUGUUGCUGCCGCCCUGGGUCCCGGCUGGGCUGGUUCCUUCAGAGACCCCGAAUGUCUGUGCCUCAGACCCAUGUGCUCCAGGGACCAGGUGCCAGGCUACAGAAAGUGGUGGCUUUACCUGUGAGCCCUUAGAGCUUGGAGGCUGUGCUGCUCAACCGUGCCACCAUGGUGCACUGUGUGUGCCCCAGGGCCCAGAUCCUAACGGCUUCCGUUGCUACUGUGUGCCUGGAUUCCAGGGACCCCACUGUGAGCUGGACAUCGAUGAGUGUGCCUCCCGGCCUUGCCACCAUGGGGGCACCUGCCGAAAUCUGGC